CCUACGGGUGGCUGCAGUGAGGAAUAUUGCACAAUGGGGGGAACCAUGAUGCAGCAAAGCCGCGUGAGUGAAGAAGUUUUUCAGUAUGUAAAACUCUAUCAGCAGGGAAGAAGAAAGACGGUACCUGACUCAGACGCCCCGGCUAACUACGUACCAGCAGCCGCAGUACUCCGUAGGGGGCGAGCGUUAUCCGGAUUUACGGGGUGUACAGGGAGCGUAGACGGCUGAGCAAGUCGGAAGUGAAGGCCCGUGGCUCAACCGCGGAACGGCUUUUGAAAAUGGAUAGCUUGAGUACUGGAGAGGCAGGCGGAAUUCCUAGUGUAGCGGUGAAAUGCGGAGAUAUUAGGAGGAACACCAGUGGCGAAGGCGGCCUGCUGGACAGAAAAUGAUGUUGAGGCUCGAAAGCGUGGGAAGCAAACAGGAUUAGAUACCCCAGUAGUC
rnacentral:rRNA from 1 species